rnacentral:misc_RNA from 1 species
CUCUCUCUCUCUCUCUCUCUAUGAGAAAACUGCCUUCUUAGUUGAUCAGUUUAACAUGCAUCAGCAUUAUUCUUUGGGAACUUGAUUUUCAUAGAAUUGAUGCAUUUUUUUCUAAUGAUUUUCUAGGUUUUUAUAAAUUGUUUUUCUAGCUGUUUAUAAAUUAUUUCAUGAAUCCAAAAAAUGUCUAUAUGGUUUCUCGUCCUACUGAUCUUAUGUUGCUAAUGCGUCAUUGAACAAGGUCUGAAAUACUUUUUUGAGAAUACUUUACCUGAAUGAGUAAUAUUGAAUACUCUUAUGGAUGAAGGUUCUACAAGUUUCUGUGCAGACACUGAUUGUAUGAACCUGAUUGUUGAACUGGGUAUUUCUUGCUUAUAAUCUUGAUUGUUAUAUUUGCUUGUGUUAUAUUUCUGCACGCACAAAAA